rnacentral:rRNA from 1 species
GACGAACGCUGGCGGCGUGCCUAAUACAUGCAAGUCGAACGCACUCUCGUUUAGAUUGAAGGAGCUUGCUCCUGAUUGAUAAACAUUUGAGUGAGUGGCGGACGGGUGAGUAACACGUGGGUAACCUGCCCUAAAGUGGGGGAUAACAUUUGGAAACAGAUGCUAAUACCGCAUAAAACCUAACACCGCAUGGUGUAGGGUUGAAAGAUGGUUUCGGCUAUCACUUUAGGAUGGACCCGCGGUGCAUUAGUUAGUUGGUGAGGUAAAGGCUCACCAAGACCGUGAUGCAUAGCCGACCUGAGAGGGUAAUCGGGCCACACUGGGACUGAGACACGGCCCAGACUCCUACGGGAGCAGCAGUAGGGAAUCUUCCACAAUGGACGAAAGUCUGAUGGAGCAACGCCGCGUGAGUGAAGAAGGUUUCGGAUCGUAAAACUCUGUUGUUGGAGAAGAAUGUAUCUGAUAGUAACUGAUCAGGUAGUGACGGUAUCCAACCAG